UACGGAGGUGGCAAGCGUUACUCGGAAUCAUUGGGUGUAAAGGGCAAGUAGGUGGCUUGGUAAGUGAGGGGUGAAAUCCUGCGACUCAAUCGCAGAACUGCCUUUCAAACUGCCGAGCUUGAGGUAGGAAGAGGGAAAUGGAAUUCCAGGUGUAAGGGUGAAAUCUGUAGAUAUCUGGAAGAACAACAGCGGCGAAGGCGAUUUCCUGGUCCUAUCCUGACACUAAAUUGCGAAAGCUAGGGGAGCAAACAGA
rnacentral:rRNA from 1 species